ACGAACGCUGGCGGCGUGCUUAACACAUGCAAGUCGAACGGUGAAGCGCCUUCCUUUUUGGUGGGUGUGGAUGAGUGGCGCACGGGUGAGUAACACGUGAGUAACCUGCCCCCUUCUUCUGGAUAACCGCAUGAAAGUGUGGCUAAUACGGGAUAUUCUGGGUCUGUCGCAUGAUGGGUCUGGGAAAGAUAUUGUUUCGGUGGGGGAUGGGCUCGCGGCCUAUCAGCUUGUUGGUGGGGUGAUGGCCUACCAAGGCGGUGACGGGUAGCCGGCCUGAGAGGGUGGACGGUCACACUGGGACUGAGACACGGCCCAGACUCCUACGGGAGGCAGCAGUGGGGAAUAUUGCACAAUGGGCGCAAGCCUGAUGCAGCGACGCCGCGGGAGGGAUGGAGGCCUUCGGGUUGUGAACCUCUUUCGCCAGUGAAGCAGGCCUGCCUCGUUUGUGGGUGGGUUGACGGUAGCUGGAUAAGAAGCGCCGGCUAACUACGUG
rnacentral:rRNA from 1 species